AUUGAACGCUGGCGGCAGGCCUAACACAUGCAAGUCGAACGAGUGGCGGACGGGUGAGUAAUGUAUGGGAAACUGCCUCAUGGAGGGGGAUAACUACUGGAAACGGUAGCUAAUACCGCAUACUAUCGGAUGUGCCCAGAUGGGAUUAGCUAGUGGGGGGGGUAAAGGCUCACAUAGGCGACGAUCCCUAGCUGGUCUGAGAGGAUGACCAGCCACACGGGAACGGAGACACGGUCCAGACUCCUACGGGAGGCAGCAGUGGGGAAUAUUGGACAAUGGGGGAAAGCCUGAUGCAGCCAUGCCGCGUGUAUGAAGAAGGCCUUCGGGUUGUAAAGUACUUUCAGCGGGGAGGCGGUACCCGCAGAAGAAGCACCGGCUAACUCCGUGCCAGCCGCCGCGGUAAUAC
rnacentral:rRNA from 1 species